CAGAGUUAGUCGGGGAGCCAAAAGGCUGAGACCACCACCGCCAAGCGCAAAGAGUGGGACCCGUUGAACCUGAUCCAUUUAAUAAUGGCGUAGGGAACUAGCAUGACUUUGUU
rnacentral:ncRNA from 1 species